rnacentral:tRNA from 1 species
GCUUAGCUCAGGUGGUAGAGCAUUCGACUUUUAAUCGAACGGUCGAGGGUUCGAGUCCCUCAGCGCC